rnacentral:lncRNA from 1 species
UGGCCCUCUCUAUUCCUACGCUCUGGUUUUGAAUGAUUCAUUAUCACUUGCACUCACUCAUUUUCCUCAGGAAGAUCUGUUCUUUCUCUCUCUCUCUCUUAAUACUUUUUCAAAUUACUUUGUUGCUUAACAUAUAUACUGCUUAAUAUUUAUGUAAAGCUUUUCCUUCUGAGCCCUGUGAUUUAGAUUCAUCGUUUUUCAGAACAUCUGGUAAUUGUUCAUGAAAAUUGUUGAUAUAUAUUUUGUUUUAAAUUGAAUUGAACCUUCCUUAGAGUUUCACUGCAUCUGUUGUAGCUUGUUCGUAACAAGAUUUUGUGACCACUUCUCAUGGAGCCUCUCUCCCAAAAAUGUGAAAUUGGAUACCUAAUUAGGAAACCAGUCCAAUGAUAACUUGAAUUAAAUUUACAGUACUACUGUUUAAUUUUCUGGCCCAUUUGUUGUGAAUUUCAUACUGUCGUAAUGUUU